AUUGAACGCUGGCGGCAGGCCUAACACAUGCAAGUCGAGCGAGCGGCAGACGGGUGAGUAAUGUCUGGGGACUGCCCGAUAGAGGGGGAUAACUACUGGAAACGGUGGCUAAUACCGCAUACUAUCGGAUAACCCAUAUGGGAUUAGCUAGUAGGUGGGGUAAAGGCGCACCUAGGCGACGAUCUCUAGCUGGUCUGAGAGGAUGAUAAGCAACACUGGGACUGAGACACGGCCCAGAUUCCAAGGGAGGCAGCAGUGGGGAAUAUUGCACAAUGGGCGCAAGCCGGAUGCAGCCAUGCCGAGUGUAUGAAGAAGGCCUUAGGGUUGUAAAGUACUUUCAGCGGGGAGGCGUUACCCGCAGAAGAAGCACCGGCUAACUCCGUGCCAGCAGCCGCGGUAAUUC
rnacentral:rRNA from 1 species